GCCGAGGUGGCGAAAUGGAAGCCGCGCUAGCCUUAGGAGCUAGUGGGAGUAAUCCCGUGGGAGUUCGACUCUCCCCCUCGGCA
rnacentral:tRNA from 1 species